rnacentral:piRNA from 1 species
UGUGCCCAUGAUUCUUCAGAGGAUAUCUUCU